rnacentral:rRNA from 1 species
GACAGAGGGUGCAAACGUUGUUCGGAAUUACUGGGCGUAAAGCGUGUGUAGGCGGCUUUGCAAGUCGGAUGUGAAAGCCCCGGGCUCAACCCGGGAAGUGCACUCGAUACUGCAGAUCUUGAGUAUCGGAGAGGUUGGUGGAAUUCUCGGUGUAGAGGUGAAAUUCGUAGAUAUCGAGAGGAACACCGGCGGCGAAGGCGGCCAACUGGACGAAUACUGACGCUGAGACACGAAAGCGUGGGGAGCAAACAGG